ACCAGACAUGGUAGCACGCCUGUAGUCCCAGCUACUCAGGAGGCUGAGGUGGGAGGAUCACUUGAGCCCAGGAGUUCUGGACUGUAGUGUGCUAUGCCGAUCGGGUGUCCGCACUAAGUUUGGCAUUAAUAUGGUGACCUCCCAGGAGCGGGGGACCACCAGGUUGUCUAAGGAGGGAUGCACUGGCCCAGGUCAGAAAUGGAGCAGGUCAAAACUCCCAUGCUGAACAGUAGUGGAAUUGCGCCUGUGAAUAGCCACUGCACUCCAGCCUGGGCAACAUAGCGAGACCCCAUCUCA
rnacentral:SRP_RNA from 1 species